rnacentral:lncRNA from 1 species
GGUGUUUCAACUUUUUAUAGCAUUACCUUUAUUUUUACCUACAGGAAGCAUGAAGUAACAGCUACAGAGAGGUCCUCAGAGCCAAGAGGAGCCGAGUUUGAUUGACAUAGGCUGAGUGGCUUCUUACAAUUCUUUUUACUUCUCAGUUCUCUAGAUAACAUUCUUAGACUAUCAAUUGUAGAGUAAUGCUGACUGAUGUUGAUAGGAAUUUUUGUAUCUGAGAAUUCCCCAUAUAAGUUAAAUUUUUUCCUCUGAAUGUGGAUAGUGUUCUUUCUCAUAAAUUCCUCUGAGCUGUUCAGGAUCCCUGCACUGCCACUAAUGGAUAAUUUAGCAAUUGUGAUCACAGAAGUGUUGCCAAUCUACAAGUUACAGUUGCCUUCAGAUCGUUCUUACUUCUCUUUCUGUCCAGAAAAUGUCUUUGCCAUUCAGGAAACAAAUUGAUUCAGAGAAGAGAUAAGAAGAUUCUAUGACCACAUCCAGAGCAAGAAAAGCAGGCUUCUGAAAGAAUUUGAAUCAUCAUCAUUUAAAGGUUUGACUAAUGGAACUAGAGACAUCUAGCUUGAAUAAUGGAAGAUGUAAAGGGUACAUGAUAGUUGUCUUCAGAUAUUUAAAAGCGAUAUUUUGGGAAGGGGUUAAUAAAUGUGCUCGGUGUUCCA